GGGAUUGCCUCGGUAACGGCGAGUGAAGCGGCAAGAGCUCAAAUUUGAAAGCUGGCUCCUUCGGGGUCCGCAUUGUAAUUUGCAGAGGAUGUUUCGGGAGCAGCCCCCAUCUAAGUGUCCUGGAACGGACCGUCAUAGAGGGUGAGAAUCCCGUAUGGGAUGGGGUGUCUGCGCCCAUGUGAAACUCCUUCGACGAGUCGAGUUGUUUGGGAAUGCAGCUCUAAAUGGGUGGUAAAUUUCAUCUAAAGCUAAAUAUUGGCCGGAGACCGAUAGCGCACAAGUAGAGUGAUCGAAAGAUGAAAAGCACUUUGAAAAGAGAGUUAAAAAGCACGUGAAAUUGUUGAAAGGGAAGCGCUUGCGAUCAGACUCGCCUUGGGGGUUCAGCCGGCAUUCGUGCCGGUGUACUUCCCCCAGGGCGGGCCAGCGUCGGUUUGGGUGGCUGGUCAAAGGCCCUUGGAAUGUAACGCCUCUCGGGGCGUCUUAUAGCCAAGGGUGCCAUGCAGCCUACCUGGACCGAGGAACGCGCUUCGGCUCGGACGCUGGCAUAAUGGUCGUAAGCGACCCGUCUUGAAACACGGACCAAGGAGUCUAACAUCUACGCGAGUGUUCGGGUGUCAAACCCGUGCGCGCAGUGAAAGCGAACGGAGGUGGGAACCCUUACGGGUGCACCAUCGACCGAUCCUGAUGUCUUCGGAUGGAUUUGAGUAAGAGCGUAGCUGUUGGGACCCGAAAGAUGGUGAACUAUGCCUGAAUAGGGCGAAGCCAGAGGAAACUCUGGUGGAGGCUCGCAGCGGUUCUGACGUGCAAAUCGAUCGUCGAAUUUGGGUAUAGGGGCAAAAGACUAAUCGAACCAUCUAGUAGCUGGUUCC
rnacentral:rRNA from 1 species